GACCCAAUUACGGAGCUCUCUGAACUCCAAACCUGAAAGGAAGUGAUGGUAGGCUACGGCUGCUAGUUCAUGAAUGCCCCUGGAUGCGCAGAAUGAGCAAUGAGGCCGCACGCUGAGGGUUUGCAUGAACUGGGAGACGUGGUUACCUUGAUCUUUUUGGUAUUGGAGUGAAGGGAGCUCCAUAUCGCGAGCUU
rnacentral:pre_miRNA from 2 species